rnacentral:rRNA from 1 species
GACGUAGGAGGCGAGCGUUGUCCGGAUUCAUUGGGCGUAAAGAGCACGCAGGCGGUUUGGCAAGUCGGACGUGAAAAUCCGGGGCUCAACCCCGGACCUGCAUCCGAAACUGCCCGACUAGAGGUAGGUAGGGGAGAUCGGAAUUCCUGGUGUAGCGGUGAAAUGCGCAGAUAUCAGGAGGAACACCGGUGGCGAAGGCGGAUCUCUGGGCCUUACCUGACGCUCAGGUGCGAAAGCUAGGGAAGCGAACAGG